rnacentral:lncRNA from 1 species
AUACAAAAGCAACAUGAAGGAUGCACAAGUAAGCAAACAAUCAAUCAAUUAGCACACUCUAUACACAAUCAAAAGGUUCAUACAAGGCUGGGCUUUAGUCAAGGGGUCAUAUCGACCUUGACAAACAAGCCAAAUACUGGAAGGGGUGUCAGGGCUCUUAACCUUUGACAUUGACCGUCAGGGUGAGCAGAUGAAAUGGGAAAUGAGGGUUAGACCUCAUAG